AUGAAUACCCUCUGCUGGAAUUGUCGUGGGUUAGGCGACCCCGCGACAGUUCAUGAGUUGCGCGACAUCGCGCGGGAGUGUGCGCCGACAGUGCUUUGUGUUGUGGAGACGCAGAUAGCAAAGUACCGUGUGGAAGGUUUGGCAAGUACGCUAGGAUUUGAUAACGCUUUUGGAGUUGGUAGUUCAGGCCGCAAUGGUGGCCUGUGUAUCUAUUGGAAAAAAUCGGUCGAUCUGACGUUAUGA
rnacentral:rRNA from 1 species